UUAACAAAAUACAGUAAAUUGAUAAAAAAUAUGAAUUCAAAAGGAAUUUUGAAAUAAAUUUCAAAUAAAAAACACAUUUUGUGACUGAAUUUGAACGAAAAUUGAGUAAAUAUCACAAAAUGCCUCGAGUCCUGUAGUUCGACAUAGAAUGGACGAAAAUUGCAAUUUAUGAAGAUCGCCGAUUAACGUAUGGAGAGCUGUAAAUUGGAAAAUUGUUUAAUUUAAAAAGUGUCUGCCAAUAACAUUCAAGAAGGCACCAUAUCUAUACUUGGAUUGAGCGUUGUUGUAGAAAUUCCUUAUCCGUCUUAACGGAUUACAUCAGCUGAACCAAAAUUCAGGUGGGGAAGUGUAACAUGCGAUUAGACAAAUAUACCUAAUUUUUUGCUAUGAAUAUACAUAAGUGAAAUUGUAACACAAAGACUUGGAAGAAGUAAUUAUUAAUUUUGUAAUAGCUUUUACAAAUUGAAUGCGCAAUUAAAAACCGUCCUAGAUCGAAUUUAAAAGAAAAAAGUGUGUAACAUAAACAAACGGGUAGUAAACAUAAGACAAUGACCCGAUGAGCAAAUUCGUCGGCAUAUGGAAAGAAGAGUGUUAAUAUUUUAAAAAUAACAAAAAAAUGCACAACGGAAAAAAGCUUGAUGUGAAUUGGAUUAAUAAGAAAAAUAGGAAGUACCCGAAUUUGGACUGCGCAAUAUAUUAAUUCUGCAUAAGAUCCGUUUAAAUAAAAAUCUCAAGCAACUGUAAUUACCUUAUUUAAACCACAUAGCAGAAGCAUCGGAACAAUUAAAAUUGGACAAGUGUUGCAAAAGGGUGUUCAAGAAGAUUGUGACAAUAUUACAACACAGGCAAUAGCAACAUUGAGUUUCAAAUACACACCUAAUCCAAUAUUGGGAAACUCAUGUUCGAAAAGAUCCGCUCCAGCCGGAUAAUGUUUAUUGAACAAUUUAGCACUAUUGGCUGCAUGCAAA